UUCUUCACAUCACGCUCAAAAAUAUGGAGAAAAGUUGGACUUAGUGUUUGACUCAAUUUCAAGCAAAUAAUCCUAAAGAAGAUUGAACCCAUCAAUUGCCAUCAAACUUGGAGCUAAAAUUGGAGAUCGUACGCGUAUUUGGAUUGGAGAAGUAGAGAAUUUGGAGGGUUAAGCAACGAGAUAUUUUAUAUUUACUUUUAAAAAUUGGAUUAAGCGAUCGAGUGUUUUCUUUCAGGAUUAACAUAUGACGAUGUGGUCGAGCUUCCAUUCAUUGUUUCGGAAGUCUCAGUUAUGGGAGGUCUUAUUCUUCUUAGAGCUGCAAUAGUCAUGAUAGUAGACCUAGCUAGUAGCAGACGAUUUAUGUUUAUAUUAUGCCCUGCUAAAAUGAUGUAUUUUGGGAAAAUGAAUUAUCCAGGGAUUUAAUAUAUGGUUAAUUGGUAUUUUAUACAGAGUGGUUUGUGAGUUUUCA